GAUGAACGCUGGCGGCGUGCCUAAUACAUGCAAGUCGAGCGAACGGACGAGAAGCUUGCUUCUCUGAUGUUAGCGGCGGACGGGUGAGUAACACGUGGAUAACCUACCUAUAAGACUGGGAUAACUUCGGGAAACCGGAGCUAAUACCGGAUAAUAUUUUGAACCGCAUGGUUCAAAAGUGAAAGACGGUCUUGCUGUCACUUAUAGAUGGAUCCGCGCUGCAUUAGCUAGUUGGUAAGGUAACGGCUUACCAAGGCAACGAUGCAUAGCCGACCUGCGAGGGUGAUAGGCCACACUGGAACUGAGACACGGUCCAGACUCCUACGGGAGGCAGCAGUAGGGAAUCUUCCGCAAUGGGCGAAAGCCUGACGGAGCAACGCCGCGUGAGUGAUGAAGGUCUUCGGAUCGUAAAACUCUGUUAUUAGGGAAGAACAUAUGUGUAAGUAACUGUGCACAUCUUGACGGUACCUAAUCAGAAAGCCACGGCUAACUACGUG
rnacentral:rRNA from 1 species